rnacentral:rRNA from 1 species
CCUACGGGUGGCAGCAGUGGGGAAUAUUGCACAAUGGGGGAAACCCUGAUGCAGCGACGCCGCGUGAGUGAAGAAGUAUUUCGGUAUGUAAAGCUCUUUUAGCAGGGAAGAAAAUGACGGUACCUGACCACGAAGCCCCGGCUCAAUACGUGCCAGUAGCCGCGGGAAUACGGUGGGGGCAAGCGUUACCCGGAUUUUCUGGGUGGUAAGGGGGCGUAGAGGGCAGGGCAAGUCCAGAGUGAAAGGCGGGGGGUCAACCCCCGGACUGCUCUGGAAACUGCCGGGCUGGAGUGCAGGAGAGGUAAGUGGAAUUACUAGUGUAGCGGUGAAAUGCAUAGAUAUUAGGAGGAACACCAGUGGCGAAGGCGGCUUACUGGACUGUAACUGACGUUGAGGCUCGAAAGCGUGGGGAGCAAACAGGAUUAGAUACCCGUGUAGUC